rnacentral:rRNA from 1 species
UUGACCUCAAAUCAGGUAGGACUACCCGCUGAACUUAAGCAUUAA